rnacentral:tRNA from 1 species
GGAUAGGUUAGUUCAGCGGUAGAACACCCGGCUCUUUAACCGGGUUGACGCAGGUUCGAGCCCUGCACCUAUCCU